rnacentral:ncRNA from 1 species
UUAAAGACAGUGAUUAGGAGAGUAGUCAUAGGUCAAUGUUUUAGCGAGCUGGUGGUGGUGUAAGACUGGUAAUAUACUUAUGAUGAAGAACACCUAGGAGUUUCUGACCGAAUAAAGUAGGCUCAGACGGUUGGAUACCGUUAUAAAUCUUCUAAGAGAUCGGCCUUGGCCGGUAAUUAGGGUGGUACCGCGAUUAUAACACGUCGUCCCUUUU